UGAAAGCCUCCCAAGCCCGGGUACAACACAAACGCCGGUACCUCAGGUGCCAAGGAACCGCAACAAAGCGAGCACGCCUCACGCCGAUUGCACCUGAAAUGACUCUCAAUAACGGAUAUCUCAGCUCUCGCAUCAAUGAAGAACGUAGUGAAAUGCGAUGCUUGGUGUGAAUUGCAGAAUCCCGUGAACCAUUGAGUCUUUGAAUGCAAGUUACGCCCAAAGCUAUUAGGCCGAGGGCACGCCUGCCUGGGCGUCACGUAACGUCGCCGCCACCCCACGCGGGGCACGGCGAAUGAUGGCCUCCCGAGGCCUCUAUCCCCCAGCUGGCCGAAAUAACUGCCUAGCGCGAUGGCGGCCAUGAUCCACGGGGACGUUCGAGACCGAACGUGAUCGCACAAUCCCAUGGGGAGGGUCGGACCCCGAAUCCCACGGCGACCCUAGGUCAGGCGG
rnacentral:misc_RNA from 1 species